rnacentral:piRNA from 1 species
UUGCACUUUAGCUAACCUGGGUGACA